UACGUAGGGUGCGGGCGUUAAUCGGAAUUACUGGGCGUAAAGCGUGCGCAGGCGGCGCGUUAAGACAGGUGUGAAAGCCCCGAGCUUAACUUGGGAAUUGCGCUUGUGACUGGCGGGCUGGAGUGUGGCAGAGGGAGGUGGAAUUCCACGUGUAGCAGUGAAAUGCGUAGAGAUGUGGAGGAACACCGAUGGCGAAGGCAGCCUCCUGGGCCAGCACUGACGCUCAUGCACGAAAGCGUGGGGAGCAAACAGG
rnacentral:rRNA from 1 species